rnacentral:rRNA from 1 species
UGAUCCUGGCUCAGGAUGAACGCUGGCGGCGUGCUUACACAUGCAAGUCGAACGGUGAAGCCUGCUAUUUAUAGUGGGUGGAUCAGUGGCGGACUGGUGAGUAACACGUAUGUGACCUGCCCCAAAGAGGAGAAUAACUUGACGAAAGUGAAGCUAAUACUCCAUGUGGUCAAUCAUUCGGUUGAUUGAUUAAGGCUAAGGCGCUUUGGGAGGGGCUUGCGGCCCAUCAGCUAGUUGGUAGGGUAAAGGCCUACCAAGGCGAAGACGGGUAGCUGGUCUGAGAGGACGAUCAGCCACAAUGGCACUGAAACACGGGCCAUACUCCUACGGGAGGCAGCAGUGAGGAAUAUUGCACAAUCGACGCAAGUCGGAUGCAGCAACGCCGCGUGGACGAUGAAGGCCUUCGGGUUGUAAAGUCCUUUUAAGAGGGACGAGGAAGGACGGUACCUCUUGAAUAAGUCUCGGCUAACUACGUGCCAGCAGCCGCGGUAACACGUAGGAGGCGAGCGUUAUCCGGAUUUAUUGGGCGUAAAGCGCAUGCAGGUGGCUAGGUAAGUCGGGUGUGAAAGCCCCGGACUUAAUCCGGGGAGGUCAUUCGAUACUGCUUGGCUUGAGAGCGGGAGAGGGAAGUGGAAUUCUCGGUGUAGUGGUGAUAUGCGUAGAUAUCGAGAGGAACACCAGUGGCGAAGGCGGCUUCCUGGCCCGUAUCUGACACUAAGAUGCGAAAGCGUGGGUAGCAAACGGACUUAGAUACUCCGGUAGUCCACGCUGUAAACGAUGGGUACUAGGUGUAGGGGGUGUAAAACUCUCUGUGCCGUAGUUAACGCACUAAGUACCCGCCUGGGGACUACGGUCGCAAGGCUAAAACUCAAAGGAAUUGACGGGGGCCCGCACAAGCAGCGGAGCGUGUGGUUCAAUUCGAAGAUACACGAAGAACCUUACUUGGGCUUGACAUGUUGGUGGUAGUGAAGCGAAAGCGGAACGAUCCUUCGGGAAGCCAUCACAGGUGCUGCAUGGCUGUCGUCAGCUCGUGCCGUGAGGUGUUGGGUUAAGUCCUGUAACGAGUGCAACCCUCGCUGCCAGUUACAAGUGUCUGGCGGGACUGCCGGUGACAAACCGGAGGAAGGUGGGGAUGACGUCAAGUCAGCAUGGCCUU